ensembl:lncRNA
GGUAAGCACUUUAAAAAUUUGCCCUAAUUUUUUUGGUCAUUAAUGUGAAAGCUACAGAGGUGCAGCUUAUUAGCCUCCCUUAACGACAAUGAUGCAGACAAGUGAAGUGAUUGGCCCAGGGGCAGAGAUCCAAUAAACACCUAACUCAGUCUUUUCUGACUCCAAGUACACAUGCCACCAAACCACCGGAAUUACCAAGGCAACAAAUUAUGUUGAAAUAAAGGCGCAGGAGACCACUAGUGAGGCGGCUCUGGAAGGGGUCACAGUAUGUGGGCAUCUUCUCCCCUAGGAGGUGGUCCUGAGGAUCCAAGGUCAGCUGAGAGCCCAGAGGUCAAGCCUCCUCCACCUCUGAAGCCAUGCAUUCAAGUGACUUCAUGGACCAAUGGGACUUCACGGUGUUUGGAGCCAUGCUGCUUAUAUCGGGUCUCAUAGGCGUCUACUUCGCUUUCUUUGCAGGCCAAGAAACAGAGUUGGAUUUCCUCAUGGCAGGGCGCCAGAUGAACGCCUUCCCUGUGUCCUUGUCACUCUCAGCCAGUUUCAUGUCCUCUCUCACCCUGCUGGGCAUGCCUGCUGACGUGUACCUGCAUGGUGCUAAAUCCAUACUUGGCGUCUUUUCAUUCCUCAUAGUAAUCUUCAUCUCAGCAGAGAUCUUCCUGUCCAUCUUUUAUUGACUCCACAUCACCAGCACCUAUGAGGUGGGCAGGGCCCAAGGGCUGGUCAUCUAGCCAGGAAGCACUUAGUUUUUUUGACUCAAGGCUAGCAUGUAGAUCUCUGUGCAGACCUUGACUGGUAAGAUCAUAACCCUUGAGCCCCUGUCUCUAAUCCAGGGACACCACUGAGAUCAAAGAAUGCCUUCCCUCAGACUAGCAGAGAUUGUGUGCUAGACACAGGAGAGGUACAAGAUGUAAAGAAAGCCAAAAAUAAGUUAUUUACUAUAGAAGCAAUUGAUUAUGUGCCACACUUUUAAGUUUCAUCUAAAAUAUCAGCUUCUGCAAGACUUUCUUGAAACUGCUAGAAACUUUUAUCCUAUGUCCUUAUUGGUUUACAGUGGUGUGUUGUCUCCCCUAUUAGACUGGAAGCUUGUUGAGGGCAGGGACUAUCUUUUGUCUUAUGUAUCCACAGUGCUUAGCAUUGUGCCUGGCACAUGUAGGCCCUUACAUAUUCUUCUUGACUGUUUUUUUUUUUGGUUUUGUUUUAUAGUGUCCUGCUGCCUUGUGAGGUCACUUGAUUCUAGUUGUUGUAUUCUGGUUCUUAAAGACUGGAUUUCAUCCCUGGCUUUUUGGUCAUCCUUCUCCUUCUGGUCUGAUUUUCUUUGGAGGUCAUCUUUCAUUCUCUUUACCUCAUCUCUCAUCUCCUUUGCCUCAUCUUUCAUCUUCCUUGCCUCAUCUUUCAUCUUCUUUUCCUCAUAUUUCAUCUCCUUUGCCUCAUUUUCAAUCUGGUUGGUUUUGGCUUUCAAAACACUAUUUUCUGUUUCCAGAUGACUUAUCUUAGUUUUUAAAUUCUUUUCCCAAUUGUCUUCAGCCUCUCUUAAUUGUGUUUUGAAUUGCAUUUUGAGUU